rnacentral:lncRNA from 1 species
GUGAGUUGUGAAGACGAGGGGCUCAGUCUUCCGAUUCAUGCAAAGGGUUGAUGUGACAUUUUCAGAGCCUAGUUCUAGCUUCAUUGUGCUGGAAAGUGGUCUUGGCCUGAGGACAGCAGGGUGCUUCAGAGUCCAGUCUGAUGCCCUUUGGCAGCCACACACCCUCCUGUGAAGGCACCACAAAUUCCUUGGGAGGGAGACGCGUUCCAGAUGUGUAUGCCGCCUCUAGAGAAAACGUGGCUUCUUCUGGUGAGCCACAUGCAAGGUGUCUCGCUGGCCACUGUGAAGUGGGGAGAGACGCCUGGAGCAAGCCAUGAUCUCUGCCAGCACUGGAAUCACCAACAUCCUUGAGCUUCCUUCAGUCUGAUGCAGAACCUGAGGACGUGGCCAUCUCUUGGUGGUGUUCUGGGAAAGCAGGAAGUCUUCAGACCUGAUUGUCUUCAGAUUUCAGCCAUGGGCUCCCUGGUGAGCCAUCUCAGGGGUAUAGGAAACAUGGAUGCCGCCCCGGAGUGGAACUGAGCAACAUCCUCCAAGUUUGUCCACUCUCCGAGUGUCUUAACUGCCCCCGGUAGAGAGGCAUUUAGCAAACAGAAACAGAUUACAGAGACCCUCGUGGCCACAUGCAAUUUGCAGUUGCUCUCAAGAGUGGGUGUGGUCACUUGUUGUUCCCUUUAGCCAUCAUAUCAGCUGCCUGGGUGAGGGGUCAGUGUGCCAAACGUUCCUGGUGGGAAAUGACUUGGUUUCCCAUAUGAGCCCCGACCUUCACUGGCCUCUCCCUCUUAGAACUCCCAUUAACCACCAUGUGUGCUGGUCACUGCAGCUGUGCCCAGAAAAAGACAAUG